rnacentral:rRNA from 1 species
GACGAACGCUGGCGGCGUGCUUAACACAUGCAAGUCGAACGGAAAGUCCCUGCUUUUUUGGGUUGCUCUAGUGGCGAACGUGUGAGUAACACGUUAGUAACCUUCCCUUGACUUUGGGAUAACUUCAGGAAACUGGGGCUAAUACCGGAUAUGAGCUCCUGCUGCAUGGUGGGGGUUGGAAAGUUUCGGCGGUUGGGGAUGGACUCGCGGCUUCUCAGCUUGGUGUUGGGGUAGUGGCUUACCAAGGCUUUGACGGGUAGCCGGCCUGAGAGGGUGACUGGCCACAUUGGGAAUGAGAUACGGCCCAGACUCAUAAGGGAGGAAGCAGUGGGGAAGAUUGCACAAGGGGAGGAAGCCUGAAGCAGCAACGUAGCGUGCGGGAUGAAGGCCUGGGGAUUGUAAACCGCGUACGCGGGUGACGAAGAGUGAGUGACGGUAAUGGGUAAAGAAGAAACGGCUAAAUACGGG